CCACUAACAGAGAUAGAUAGUUUGAUCAUAUUGAAAUAUAUCGAUGAUUAAAAAGGAUAGUUUGAUACUUUUUAAAAUAUAAAAGAUGUAAAUUAAAUUAAAAUUAAAAAAAUAUUUUUAUAUUUUUUUAAAUAUAUAAUAUAAUAUUAAAAAAAAAUGAAGCAGUGCCGAACAGCGCCUUGGCUUGCUAGUUCUAGUCGUGCCAAUGUUUCUCUGAAGAAAUCGUUUUCGGCUAGGC
rnacentral:lncRNA from 1 species